UGAGGGGGGCUGCUCCUAGUACGAGAGGACCGGAGUGGACGCAUCACUGGUGUUCGGGUUGUCAUGCCAAUGGCACUGCCCGGUAGCUAAAUGCGGAAGAGAUAAGUGCUGAAAGCAUCUAAGCACGAAACUUGCCCCGAGAUGAGUUCUCCCUGACCCUUUAAGGGUCCUGAAGGAACGUUGAAGACGACGACGUUGAUAGGCCGGGUGUGUAAGCGCAGCGAUGCGUUGAGCUAACCGGUACUAAUGAACCGUGAGGCUUAACCUU
rnacentral:rRNA from 2 species